AGUCACUGACAUUAGAUACCCGUGUAGUCCAGGGUGUAAACGCUGCAGACUUGGUGUUGGAAGCCCUUUGGGGGCAUUCAGUGCCGGAGAGAAGUUGUUAAGUCUGCUACUUGGGAGUACGUCCGCAAGGAUGAAACUUAAAGGAAUUGGCGGGGGAGCACCGCAACGGGAGGAGCGUGCGGUUUAAUUGGAUUCAACACCGUAAACUCACCAGGGAAGACUGUUACAUGAAGGCCGAGAUGAAGACUCUGCUAGAUUUUCAG
rnacentral:rRNA from 1 species